rnacentral:rRNA from 1 species
AUUGAACGCUGGCGGCAGGCUUAACACAUGCAAGUCGAGCGGAGAUGAGGUGCUUGCACCUUAUCUUAGCGGCGGACAGGUGAGUAAUGCUUAGGAAUCUGCCUAUUAGUGGGGGACAACAUUCCGAAAGGAAUGCUAAUACCGCAUACGCCCUACGUGGGAAAGCAGGGGAUCUUCGGACCUUGCGCUAAUAGAUGAGCCUAAGUCGGAUUAGCUAGUUGGUGGGGUAAAGGCCUACCAAGGCGACGAUCUGUAGCGGGUCUGAGAGGAUGAUCCGCCACACUGGGACUGAGACACGGCCCAGACUCCUACGGGAGGCAGCAGUGGGGAAUAUUGGACAAUGGGCGGAAGCCUGAUCCAGCCAUGCCGCGUGUGUGAAGAAGGCCUUUUGGUUGUAAAGCACUUUAAGCGAGGAGGAGGCUACUUGGAUUAAUACUCUAGGAUAGUGGACGUUACUCGCAGAAUAAGCGCCGGCUAACUCUGUGCCAGCCGCCGCAGUAAAAC